rnacentral:rRNA from 1 species
AUUGAACGCUGGCGGCAGGCCUAACACAUGCAAGUCGAGCGGUAGAGAGGAGCUUGCUUCUCUUGAGAGCGGCGGACGGGUGAGUAAUGCCUAGGAAUCUGCCUGAUAGUGGGGGAUAACGUCCGGAAACGGACGCUAAUACCGCAUACGUCCUACGGGAGAAAGUGGGGGCUCUUCGGACCUCACGCUAUCAGAUGAGCCUAGGUCGGAUUAGCUAGUUGGUGGGGUAAAGGCUCACCAAGGCGACGAUCCGUAACUGGUCUGAGAGGAUGAUCAGUCACACGGGAACUGAGACACGGUCCAGACUCCUACAGGAGGCAGCAGUGGGGAAUAUUGGACAAUGGGCGAAAGCCUGAUCCAGCCAUGCCGCGUGUGUGAAGAAGGUCUUCGGAUUGUAAAGCACUUUAAGUUGGGAGGAAGGGUCGUUACCUAAUACGUGACGAUUUUGACGUUACCGACAGAAUAAGCACCGGCUAACUCUGUGCCAGCAGCCGCCGUAACAC